GGGGACCUUUGGGGCCCUAAAGACUGGCCACCUUAGUAGCGCGCUCCACAUGGGGCAAACGGACGGGGGGCUUACACAUAGCGGAUCUACUGGGGCACGCCCCCGAUGAUCUGCAACGGCGGGGCAACCCGUCGUAGCUAAACGGAAGACAGAAA
rfam:Phaeobacter sp. CECT 5382 genome assembly, contig: 0024